rnacentral:rRNA from 1 species
UUAUACGGCGAAACUGCGAAUGGCUCAUUAUAUAAGUUAUCGUUUAUUUGAUAGUAUCUUGCUACUUGGAUAACCGUGGUAAUUCUAGAGCUAAUACAUGCUAAAAAUCCCGACUUCGGAAGGGAUGUAUUUAUUAGAUUAAAAACCAAUGCCCUCUGGGCUCUCUUGGUGAAUCAUGAUAACUUCUCGAAUCGCAGGGCCUUGCGCCGGCGAUGGUUCAUUCAAAUUUCUUCCCUAUCAACUUUCGAUGUUUGGGUAGUGGCCAAACAUGGUUGCAACGGGUAACGGAGGGUUAGGGCUCGACCCCGGAGAAGGAGCCUGAGAAACGGCUACUACAUCCAAGGAAGGCAGCAGGCGCGCAAAUUACCCAAUCCCGAUCCGGGGAGGUAGUGACAAUAAAUACUGAUACAGGGCUCUUUUGGGUCUUGUAAUUGGAAUGAGUACAAUUUAAAUCCCUUAACGAGGAACAAUUGGAGGGCAAGUCUGGUGCCAGCAGCCGCGGUAAUUCCAGCUCCAAUAGCGUAUAUUAAAGUUGUUGUGGUUAAAAAGCUCGUAGUUGAACCUUGGGCCUGGCUGGCCGGUCCGCCUCACCGCGUGCACUGGUCCGGCCGGGCCUUUCCCUCUGUGGAACCCCAUGCCCUUCACUGGGUGUGGCGGGGAAACAGGACUUUUACUUUGAAAAAAUUAGAGUGCUCCAGGCAGGCCUAUGCUCGAAUACAUUAGCAUGGAAUAAUGAAAUAGGACGUGCGGUUCUAUUUUGUUGGUUUCUAGGACCGCCGUAAUGAUUAAUAGGGACAGUCGGGGGCAUCAGUAUUCAAUUGUCAGAGGUGAAAUUCUUGGAUUUAUUGAAGACUAACUACUGCGAAAGCAUUUGCCAAGGAUGUUUUCAUUAAUCAGGAACGAAAGUUAGGGGAUCGAAGACGAUCAGAUACCGUCGUAGUCUUAACCAUAAACUAUGCCGACUAGGGAUCGGACGAUGUUAUUUUUUGACUCGUUCGGCACCUUACGAGAAAUCAAAGUGCUUGGGCUCCAGGGGGAGUAUGGUCGCAAGGCUGAAACUUAAAGAAAUUGACGGAAGGGCACCACCAGGGGUAAACCUGACCUGUGAAGCCGCAGUCAACUCUGCUCCAGAAAGCCGCCCGAAAGGGUCGGUGGUGUUCCUAGGGGAGAGCUCUCCCCUAAACUAAUGGCUAGUCCUGCCGCCCGCGGCAGGGCGACACCCUCAAACUGACGGGGAACUCCUAAAGCCCUCGCUCCGGACAGGCGUCGGGAAACCGACGGCCUGCUCACCAGGCUAACGACCUCGGGUAUCGGAAGCAACGCGAGAGGAUGCUACAAUGGACAAUCCGCAGCCAAGCCCCUACGGUGCGGCCUCUACGGGGGUCGCAUACGGGGAAGGUUCAGAGACUUGACGGGGGUGGGUGGCGCGGGCUCUUGGGGUGCAAGCCGCGUGCUUGCUUGCAGGCCCAGGCGCCCGCCGCUGCCUAAGAUAAAGUCCGGGCGUGCGCGAAAGCGUGCGCGGCAACCACGCAACCCGCCGUUUCCAGCGGGUGCGAGGCCCCAGAAGUAAAAACAACCGGGAGCCUGCGGCUUAAUUUGACUCAACACGGGGAAACUCACCAGGUCCAGACACAAUGAGGAUUGACAGAUUGAGAGCUCUUUCUUGAUUUUGUGGGUGGUGGUGCAUGGCCGUUCUUAGUUGGUGGAGUGAUUUGUCUGCUUAAUUGCGAUAACGAACGAGACCUUAACCUGCUAAAUAGCCCGUAUUGCUUUGGCAGUACGCCGGCUCUUAGA